rnacentral:rRNA from 1 species
GCAAGUCGAGCGCACCCUUCGGGGCGAGCGGCGGACGGGUUAGUAACGCGUGGGAACGUGCCCUUCUCUAAGGAAUAGCCUCGGGAAACUGAGAGUAAUACCUUAUACGCCCUCCGGGGGAAAGAUUUAUCGGAGUUGGAUUAGCCCGCGUUGGAUUAGGUAGUUGGUGAGGUAACGGCUCACCAAGCCGACGAUCCAUAGCUGGUUUGAGAGGAUGAUC